CCAAAUACAUUUUAUGUGGUUGUCUGUUUUACUUAUGUACAUGACAUACAUAUUUAGUUAGAUAGUUACAUUGGCUAGUAUGCAGUACUGUUGGGUACUACGCACACAUCUAUUGGUACUUUGAACUACCCAGAACACCAACGCAACGAGGCUUUUGCAUGACUCUCGCAAUAUGGAAAUGUGCUCACUUGUGAAAAGAAAAAAACUAGUGAUACAUUUGUUUAUCGCAAAACACUGGCCAACGAGCUCGAAAGUGAGUGAUACAGUUUUGUGCCGAAAAACAGUCGCAAACCAGCUCGCGAGAGUAAAAUCGUCUCGCAAAACGGUCGCUUUCACUGCCGCAAAGUAAACGAGGCGAUAUCAUUGGCUGGGUACAUGAAUGAACACACAUGCGGUGGUACUUGUUCAGCAGAGACGCAAGCAGCGAUAGGAAAAAUACGGACAGCGACUCGGAUCUCGGUCAGCUGAAAUCCCGAAACUUCAAUUGAAUUUUCAUUAUUUUGCAAAGGAAUGAAUAAAGGAAAUCUACAUUAAAAAUGAA